GCUCAGCUCACUGCGAGGUGAAUCAGGAAGGGACUUUAAUCCAGAGUCGAUAGAGAAGAGGGCAGGGUAGUGACCCAAAAUAACCAUCUUGUGGGGGCCAGGUUGGACAGGACCCGAACAUCACGAAUCAGGUCCCGCAGUGGAGAGUUCUAAGCAGUUUCGGGGAGAAAUCUCCCAGCAUAGGCAGGCUGCGAAACUGGCACUGACCUCAGUGCUCCCCAGGGCAGGCCCAGAACCAGCCCUCAGCAACUCCGGAUCUUCCUGGACGUCCUGACUUCUUGCCCGCCUCGCUGUGGUUCUGUGGUUUGCUUAAUAUAUGUCUCAGCAUUUUCCUCAGCACUUCCAGCCAGCCAACCGGCACAAGCACAGAAAGAAAAUCCGCCGCUGAUUACCACAAAAGGCUUUGAGACCUUUACUUCAACCUGGACGGGCGGGGGAGAAACGGGCAAGCGGCUCCGCGGAGCAACACUGCCCCCUGCAGACCACAGAAACCAAAAUGCCAGCAAGCCCGGAAGAAAAUCGAUCCUUCCCGCUGGGUUUUCGGGCAAAGGACUUAUGGGGAAUGCCCUUGAGGACCAAAGAAAGAAAGGGAACAUCUCGAAGGGGCCCGGGCCAACCGCCCCUGGACCGCGCGAGUUCCGCUCGACCCGCCCACAGAACCACAGCGAGGCGGGCAAGAAGUCAGGACGUCCAGGAAGAUCCGGAGUUGCUGAGGGCUGGUUCUGGGCCUGCCCUGGGGAGCAUUGAGUCCGUUGGCCGUGUCCGACUCUUUGCGACCCCAUGGACUGCAUGCAGCACGUCAGGAGGUUUCCCUGUCCUUCACCAUCUCCCAGAGCUUGCUCAGACUCCUGCCCAUUGAGUCAGUGAUGCCAUCCAACCAUCUUGUCCUCUGUCAUCCCCUUCUCCUGCAGUCAGUCUUCCGCAGCAUGGCAGGCUGUCUUACUCUCGAUCCCAGUGAGCAUUUUCUUUCACUCUUCCACUGGGGAGGAGAAUGUAUCCUGCAAACCAGUGUGCAAGCUACAAUCUGACAGCCUUGAGACCUGAACAUAGGGACACUCUCUGAGGAACCCUGAGAACCCGGAGAGCUGACUCUUCCUCUGUGUGCCCAAGGUCCCAAAGGCAUAUGAGGGCAGUAAUAGCAUCUGCUUCUUGGGUGGUGUCCAGCAUCAACUACCCAGCAGGAUCUUAGCUUGGCACUUGUCCCCAUCAUGUUAUUAUUGUAGGUGGCUCAGAUGGUAAGGAGUCAGCCUGCAGUGCAGGAUAGCCAGAUUCAAUGGCUGGGUUGGGAAGAUCCUCUGGAGAAGGAAAUGGCAACCCACUCCAUUAUUCUUGCCUGGAGAAUCCCAUGGGCAGAGGAGCCUGGCAGGCUACAGUCCAAGGGGUCUUAAAGAAUCAGACACUUCUGAGCCACUUUCACUUCCACUUCACGUAAUGAUUUUGAAGUCAAAACUCACUGUCAUAAUAAAGUUCUCUUUAAACAUACAGGAAUUCCUCAACGAUGGGAAGCAAGACAAGGGUAACCACUCCUUCCACUACAUUCACUAUGUCAGCUUAUAUUAUGUUGUUGGAUUUUUAAGUGUCAGUGCGUCCGGCGAAAGUUCUCACAACGGGCUCUCUGAAGGGCUCAGACGCAGUCUGAAUCAGCCAACCGGCACAAGCGGAGGAAAACAAAAUAAAACCAAACCAGCUGUUUCUUGUGGCCAAAAGCUUCCUGUUAUUUUAUUAAAGCGCGAGGGCGGAGGAAAAAACCGGCCCGGCGACACUGUGGAGCAACACUGCCACCUGCAGGCUACAGAAACCAAAACGCCGCAAGCCCGGAAGAAAAUUCAUCGUUUCUGCUGGGUUUUCCCGCAGAGGACUGGACAGCGUGGACGCGAAAGUUAAGGGGGAUGCCCGUAAGGACCAGAGAAAGGAAGAGAAUCUCUCGACGGGGUCCGGCCAAACCACCCCUGGACAGCGAGCAGUCCGCGGAACCAUAGCAACACGGGCAGGAAGUUAGGGUGUCCGGGAAGAUCCGGAGCUUGGUGGGCGGGGCUGCACUCCGAUUGGCUGGCUCUGGGCAUGCGCGCAGCCACCCAGUGAGGCCCGUGCCAGUCUCUUGGCCCUGGUCGGCUGGGAGUUUUGUCUGGGAACUUGUUUGGAACUCUCCACUGAAGAACCUGACCGGUCGUGACGUCCGGGUCCUGUCGCCCACUGCCGAAGCCCCCCACGUGCGGGGACGUUACAAGUCCCCUGUCCAUUCUCCUCCCUCCCACCCCCGGCCUGUGAACGCGUUCCUCCCGUGGUACACUCGCUGUUCUCUCAGGCCUCACUCUUCUGAUCCCUCCUCAGUGCCCACGAGGCACACCCGGUCACCCCGGGAGACUUUUUGUCCUUAGCGAUGUUCCCUUCCUCCCUACCCGAGCAUCCCUCUGCCCACCGUCCCGCCCCGGGCAUCAAGAAAGACCGCGCCCCUCAUGCUGUCCUGUUUCCAGCCUUCCUCCCUGGCAUCACCCUCAACAUGACGUCCUGUCCUCCAGCUCCUUCGCACUACUGCCAGUGCACUGAUACCACAACCUCCUGGACACCUCCAGCUCACCGGCCACGCGUCCUUUCCCAGCAUGCACCAGGCCCCUCCUGGAUCGGCUGAGCCAGGGCUGGAAGCUUUCCCCCGCAAACACACCUCUCCCCGACAAACACACCUGUUGGGCUCCUUGCACCCUCCUGCCUGCCCACUCCCUGCCUGUGUCUGAGUACCUGAGCAUCGAGGAGAAAACUUUACAGAAGUGUUUUAUCUUGAAUCCAUGGCGGGAGUAGACCGCUGUUCAGUUUCAUGG
ensembl:lncRNA